UUUCAACCCACCACACAGUUUUACCGUACGAAUUGUGUCUAUAGGGAUCGACUCCUGAAGCACGGUGAUUUAAAUCUGAUGAAGAUGACCAGACUUACAGGUGCUAAUUCGUUUCGUAUUCUAUUAGAUCAUCGGAGAACAGAUGCAGCGCAAGCCUCCGCUUCUUUUUCGGACUAACUUGGAGACGAGAAUGCCUCUGCGUGGUGCCGAGACAAAACCAGCUCGGGAUUUGAGGAAAGAAGCAACAGAUGAAGUUGGCCACAAAAAAAUACUGUUACGACGGAAGACAUCACGUGAUAUAUAGAUACUGAGAAUUCAACGGACAUCCCCAAGAGGGUUAUGGUAGAUAGCUUUAAUGGUGACAUUCGGGUGAAAGGAAAACAGAUGAAGUAGUGUCCUUCAGGCAAGUACACAGGUCCAUACAUAAAAUAAUUACAUUUCUAAUGGGUUUAUCAAAAGUACAACGCUUAGAAUAGAGUCGGAUGUUCCUUAAAGGUGAGUUUAUAACAGGUAAAAAUCUGCUAGGAAGAAUAACGAUAAUGAGAAUUUUCGGAAAAGAUCAAGUUUCCCCCUUUUUUACGAUACAGGAACAGAC